rfam:Trichobilharzia regenti genome assembly, scaffold: TRE_scaffold0017730
AUACUGCUGAAGAGUCCCAAACUAGGACGAAACAGCCGUCCAGUAC